CUAUUUCCUCUGCUAUUCAGAGCUAACCACGUGUAAUUGGCCCAGAAGUCUCUUGUAUUUUGGGGAACUGUUUGCGAUAGCCCAUCUGUUUUCAUCUCGCAGUUCAAACGAUAGUGUUUACCCUUAUGUCGGGGAAAUUGGUUUACAUGCGCAGCAAUUUCAGUGCGACACCGAAAUAUUGAACCAACGCUACGAAUCGUACAGGCUUUGUACUGCUAAUAACCCUCCAUUACGACUGUCACGAGACAUUUACACAGCCUCUUGGUCCUGUAAAGGAAAGUUAGAUCCUGGGUUUAUCUAACUAUUUGAAAACCAGUUGGUCUUUGGCCAGAGACGCAGACGCAUGGGUCAGGGGAGGUGGCCGGGCAGCCCGGGAGCAAUCGGGUCGCAGGGGGCAAAGCCCUGACGCCUUCUGUCUCCUGUGGCGUGGGCUAGGUUGGCUGAUACUGAACGACCCCCAGCAGCCCCCUCCUUCCGUCCCGCAGACUCGUUUGCGUCUCUUUUCUCCAAACCGCGAUCCGGAGCUUCGGGCCCAGUUUCCCGAGUGACACAUCGUGAAACCGCAGGGAAGUGGUGCAAGCCCGGAACAGAUGGGUCUCUGACCCUGCGUGUUUCGCAGAUUGAGGAUGGAUGGAGGUGUAGACGGCUCAGGGCCAUCUAGCCCUUUCGUGAGCCGCAAAGAGAUGGUUCGGUGCUCCCAGGAGGGACAAGUCUCCUUUCUCAGGCUGUGUCGAGGAAAGGGAGCUCGUCAAUGCAGCGUGAAGCGCCGGCCCGCAGCGGUGUGGGUGGGGGGCGGUCUCGUUCUUUUGGCCCGUGGGCAGCCGCGGGACGGCUGCGUAACCGGCUCCGGAGACCGGGAGUGUGCGUUGGAGCCGCGCCCCGACUUUCCUGGGGCGGAGAAAUUGGAGAAAUUGCUCUGAAGUAGCGUCGGCUGCCCUGGCUGAGAGGCCCGUAAUCAGCCCCUGGCAUGUGUGCAAAUGCUGAUUUUGCGGGUGUUACUUAAUCCACGCCGGCGGUGAAAAGCCUCGGGUUGGUGGCACGCUCACCUCCCACCGCCAGGCUUCUUUCUCGGUCUGCUCUGGGGAGCAGACUCUGCGUCCAGGGUGGGGUGGGGUUGGGUGACCGGUGAGGGUGUGAGUCUGAUGCUGGGGCUUCUUUGGCCCAAGGAUUGAGGAGUGAAAAAAGAAUGCGAAAAUGAAGCUGUUGACGGACGUCUGCCGCCUUAAUUCAGGCUGUUGUCCCAGUGUCCUGGUAGAAAUUAGCCAUUUCCUCUGUAUCCCAUGCUAACUUACUCUUUCAAGGGGAGGAGUAGUUGGCAGAGGAAAAAACCAUAAUGAUUUUACACAGUACAAAAUGUGACCAAGGCUAACUUGAGGAAGGUACAAGAAGAGGAAUAUCCAGCUGAUCAUUUAAACCUUAGUGCCAGAAACAGUCAAAAUUAUCUGUGGAAGGCCGUAAGAUCAGUAAGGAGCUCCUCUACAAAGGAAGACCCAAAUUUAAGUCUUAGCAGUUAAAGUGACCUUUGGUAACUCCAGUAAGGUGGAGGCCUGCUCCUGGGCAAAUGCAGGAAAGCAAAGAUCUAAGGCCAGAACCCACAUCCCACAAAGAGUCCAUCUUUUCCAAAGUUGGAAGGAAAAAGCUCCCUUACAAUGCCUCAUGAUGACCAGCCCUCAGUUCCCUCUACUACCUUCAGUUCAUGUCUCAUAUGACUUAUUAUUAUGCUGGAAAUGAGUAAUUUUAAAAAGCAAAAUAUUCUGGGGGAAAAGGAGUGAAAAUUCCAACCUACUUCAUCCCUUAAAUUUCAAAAGGCAAAUAAUCCAUUAACUCAUGACCACACCUCUCCCUGCCCCCCAAAAGCAAUGAGAAUUUAAAUUUAUAUAACAACUUGAAUAUAGGUCUAAAUUAUAAGGGGCAAUCUCUCUUUUCAGAUCCUUGGGCAUUUUAUUUUGUGGCCUUUCCAGUACUUUCUACCAAAAACAAAUCCACAGAGAACGUGAAAGCAUCCCAGCUAUAGGAACUAGUUUUAGUCAAUUGGUGAAGACAAAUUGGAAGGUUUGUCCUGAAAAGCAAUGAUUUUAAGGUUAAGGUUAUACUUUUUAUUCAUGGUCAGCAUAGCCGCAAAGUGUAGAAAGAAAGACAACAGAAUUGUCUCAGAGUAUAGUGUUCACAUAUCAGGGCCAUUGUAAAAACAGGGUUUUAGUUUAACAGGGUUUCUUAGUAGAGGCUGCCUCUGCCUUACUAAUUGUCCUCCUUGAUGUUUGCUUUCUUUUGUCCUCCUUACCCAUCUACUACAGCUGACAAAACUUACACCAAAGAGACUCCUCACACAAUUUGUUUUUGAGAGACUGCUAUUUGCUUAGCACUGUACGAGCAAUAAUGAAGGGUAGGAAAGGAUCAGAUGUGUUCCCUGCCCUUUUGGAGCUUCUCAUUUGCUUGGGGAGAAAAGACUUAGAAAACUUAGUGUAUUCAUGUCCAUUAAAGAGGUAAGAAGGGCCAACACAGUAUUGCUUAGGGAACGGAGUGAGAAUGGCAGCACAGUUAGAGCGUGAGGAACGGCACAGGUCACAGGAAUCUUUUCCGGGUCACCCAAGUGGUCUUCAGAUCACAGUGGAGAGAAAACUAGAUGAGGAGAUUGGGAAGCCAGCAACCAGAUGGGGCCUGGCUCAGCUUUGUGAUUUUUUUCCCCUGCCUCUUCUGCUCUUGCAGUGUGCACGGGAAACAACUGAAGGGCAAAUCUGGAAUUCAUGGUGUGUGUCUGCGUGUGUAGGGGUGAGGUGGGGAGGAAAAGGCCAAAUACAUUAUCUGAUCAUUCUGUACCUGUGGGGAGGUUAGGGAGCUUCAUUUUCUGGCUGCCUUGCUAUUUGCAUGGAUAUGAUGCCCAAAUGUAAUCUCAGGAAAAUAAACUAACUGGAUUAUGAGCUGAAGAAUCAUGUGGCUUUUUUUCCUGCUAGCAUCUCAGCAGCUGCUCUACGACAAACGGCCCAACAAAACUGCCACCAUCACAGGAUGAAUCUAAAGGACUUAAUUGCCUGUGGACUUGAACUCGAAAGACGGAGGAACAUCAUUGAACACAUCCCCUUUGUUAGCAGUCUGAGCUUCAUAGGCCCUGGGCUUAUGGCAUUCCUUCACGGCGGACAUGGCAGAACGAGUUGGACAUGCCAUUUUAGACUGAGCUCUGAAUCUCCAGACUAAUGUGACCUGACACUCCAGAUCUUCACUUUCCCUUUCUGGAACUUAGACCGUUAUCUUGGAGGCUCGAAAAAUCACUGAAAGAUUACACCUGGCACUGUUUAUGCUGUUCACCUCUGAAGACUGAGACUGACUUUAGGUAAGAAGACUAUCACAUUUUUUUGUAAUUUCUGCCUUUCUGCAUUGUCCAACCUGGUAGAGCAAGUUUGUAUCACCUUUUUUUUUUUCCUUUUGGUUAAAAAAAUAAGAAUUCUUUAAAGACCUCACUUACAACGUUCAAAACACUCUACUAUGUCAUUCUGUGGCAAAGAAUUUUAAUUUUUUCUCCAAAGAGAAACCAAAGUCUAGGAAGGUUCAUCAGUUCUGAAGGUCAUGAUAAUUUCCUAACUUUUCGUUAAAUGAUUUGAACCACCAGGCCAGUGGUAAGAAAAAAAAGAAUGCUAUAAAAAGUUAGUAGAAUAUUGAGAACUACAUUAGGUUCAAUAUUCAUUUAUUGAACAGGAACUUAUUGCAUGGUAUUCUUAGUUUAUAGGUUUGUAAGUACAACAGGAACUGUGGCACAAAGGGUAGUAUCAUGGUAAGAAGUCAGGGUUCUAGGUGGAUUUUUUUAAGUCACCUAAAGUUUCUGUCAGAAUUAGAACCUCAGACUGUGGUAUUUCUUUUGUCAAGGUUGGUUAUUCUAGCCUGUUCUUCAUCUCAAUGCUUUAUUUCUCUUCCUUAUCAUGUAGCAAGCCCAUUUAACAUGUUGUGGUCAUGUGAUGUUUUUCCUAUAAAUUUAUCAUAAUUGCAAUUUUAGAUAUAUAACAAUCUACACACUCAAAGAAAAUAAACCUUCUAAUGAGGACUCAAGCUAACCACCUUGGGGAAUUGCUCUUUUUGAUUGUAUUUUAAGGCCAUUAAAAUAUUUGUUUAGUGAUUUAUUCGUCCUGGAGACAGAUGUAAGGAUCAGUCUAUUUUUCACGUUACACUGGAGUUUUCUUUUUAAAUAUUCUC